CUCGCUGUAGCGCAGCUGGCCAGCGCGCCUCGUUCGGGGCGAGGAGACCGCAGGUUCGAAUCCUGCCGGCGAGACCA
rnacentral:tRNA from 1 species